rnacentral:rRNA from 1 species
CCUACGGGAGGCUGCAGUGAGGAAUAUUGGUCAAUGGACGAGAGUCUGAACCAGCCAAGUAGCGUGAAGGAAGACUGCCCUAUGGGUUGUAAACUUCUUUUAUAAAGGAAUAAAACGAGGCACGUGUGCCUUUUUGCAUGUACUUUAAGAAUAAGGAUCGGCUAACUCCGUGCCAGCAGCCGCGGUAAUACGGAGGAUCCGAGCGUUAUCCGGAUUUAUUGGGUUUAAAGGGAGCGUAGACGGGUUGUUAAGUCAGGGGUGAAAGUUUGGGGCUCAACCGUAAAAUUGCAAUUGAUACUGGCAGUCUUGAGUACAGUUGAGGUAAGCGGAAUGCGUGGUGUAGCGGUGAAAUGCUUAGAUAUCGCGAAGAACCCCGAUUGCGAAGGCAGCUUACUAGACUGUAACUGACGUUGAUGCUCGAAAGUGUGGGUAUCAAACAGGAUUAGAUACCCGGGUAGUC